GGGAAGAGGGACUAAGACCCAGUAGAGAGGGGACGGAAUGGGGCGAGGCCUGGAAACCUGAGAGCUUCUGACUAGGUCUAAUGGAGGAAGCGACGUAAAGAAAGUACCGGGUCGGAGCUGCAAACUCGGCCCGAUUAACCGGGCCUGGACCGGAAGAAUGCCAGGAUGGAUGGGAAGAGACUGUGAGAGGGUGUGCGCAUGCGCCCAACCAGGGCCUCAACCUAAGGACUGCGCCUGCGCAAGCUCGCCCCUUCAUUGUCUUGUUCCGCGAGGUCGAGCGCGGGCGAGCCCCACUUGGGCGCCGCUUUUCCUGUCGCCACGGUCGAAGACGGCCACGUAGCUACCCAAGAAGACAUCACCGAGGAUCCAGAAGGGCCCUGAGGGCGGAGGCACGUCCAGAGCCAUGAAGCCGGACAAACAGAUACUGAAGCCACUCCGAGUAAUCUACAAGGCGAUAAGACCAGUCACGGGUGUCACGCUCACCGGCCUGCCUUCCUCCUAGGAGCCAGAGCUUCGCCCUGCCCACCACUAGACAUGUUUCUGUGCCGCAUGCUUGGACCUAGUGACGUCUCACUCCCAGCCCCACCCUUCCAAACGCGCCACUCUGACGUCAUUAUGACGGCCACCUACCUGGAUGACGUAGUCCUGGGCCGUGAGGUUAAACCAGACCCCCCCAAGAAGGAAGGAGACUGGGGGGAGCGUUGGGAUUUUCGAGCACUCGAUGUAGUACUGGGGGAAAAGAGGAACAAGUCCGAAAUGAGGGAUUCCUUCUCGGCUCAAUUUUUUUCUGUGACUCCCCAGUGCCGCAGGGUCGUGUCCAUUUUGGGCAACUAGGUGUUAAAGACUGUGUGUGGUCAAGAUCUCCUGUCUUCUGUAGCCUUACUGGCUCUUCCUCACUACUGUAUAAUUGUUGCCACUUAUCCUAGGCUCCCAUUUGAUCAGGUCCUCUUUACCUCUAAUUGAAAAUCAAAAGCUGGUGGUGGCCCACGGGCCAUAUUGGGCCUGCAGGUAUAUGUAACUAGUCUUAUACUCAUUAUGUUCACUCACUCUCAUCCAGUAAACCUGGAUCACCAUCCUCUCCUAUGCACUGUGACACUCAGGAUAGACUCUAGGGAAGUGUCUUUGCUUCCUCCCACUACUCCCUCCAACCUCUCACUCACAAGGUCCAGUGCUUUCUGCCCUGGGAUGCCUUCCUACCCAUCUGAUUCCCACCCUCAGGCCAUAGCAUCCUGUACAGUGACCACUGUUAAAUCCCUGUGAGUCUCCCCAGCCCAUGUGCACCAGACACCAGAUCCUCACCUCCCCCAUCAGCAGGGGUACUGCCCCAAUGGCUUUCUGCAGGGCCCGGAUCUCCUCAGUGGGUCCUGUGAUGAGAGACGUGCCGGUGUCCAGAAUGGCAGCACAGCCCCGGGCACAGAGAGUCAGACCUGUGGCCACCUGAACACUGUGAGGCAGAAGGGGGCAGUCAUUAGAGCUGGCAU